CGAGCUGGGUGGGGGAGGGGAGAAGCCAUGUGGCCUUCGGAGGAAUAUUCAACCCAAUCUUGAAUUACCAGCAAAUGUUCCUGGAAAGAAAUUGGGGAAUUUGCACCUGCAGCACAAUCCUGAGAGUGGGAGUUACGCUCAGCCUGGGAAAAGCAUCAGAGUGCCAGCCUGUCACCAGGAGCUCGGAUCAAAAACUCCAUUGUUGCUGCUGACAGGAAUAUCAAAUUAGCAACCAGAAAGGCAUGAGCAAGGAUUGCUCAACACGCAACAAUUAAUAUGUAUCCAAUGACAGUUUACAAAUUAAAAAGCAAGCUAGCCAAAAGUACCUCACACACUAUUUGGAACUUGUUUCAAUCAUUUAUUCAGCUCUGACAAAGUUUAAGACUCUGUUAAUGAACAGUGAUACAUUCCAUAUAUGCCAUGGCUGUCAUUUUCCAAGUGUUCUUUCUGCUAAGAAAACAAUAAAUAAACAUACUAAGCCCAA